rnacentral:lncRNA from 1 species
GAUGUUGGAAUAGCAGAAUAUGUAUGUAAAGUCCUUGAGAAAAACAUGACAGAACAACUCGAUCAAGUGAAAAAAGCAGUUGAAAAAGCGAUCAAGGAUUUUGAACAAUGUCUUACAGAAGGGGUUAAAAAUUCCAAAACCUCUGAAGAAAACCUGAACACCUUUUUGCACCGUGAUGUAUGUCUCUGAAUUAUAAUUAACAUGAAAGCAACAGAUUUUUCACUUAAUGAGCAUGUGUUUAGAAAUGGUUUCUUGAUUUGUUUCAGGAAAACCCUCUCGUGUUCAUGACACUAGAGGCCGUGGUUAAGAAAAACGGCAUCCACAAAACAAAAAAAGGGGAAGAAAUAAAUCUCAACACAAUGUUGGCUUCCUGCUUGACUGACAGCAUUGAUGAAAAAUUCAGAAAGACCUUCCCGUAAGAAUAAAAAUUUUAUAAACUGUACCAUAUAAUUACACGGCGCCUAAAAUUAUUAAAAGAAACUUGUCAAUACUGCUGUCAUUGAUUUUUCAGAAAUGAUGUUAAAGGCAGAUAUUUCAAUGGAGUCAUCAGCAUAUUUUCACUUGACACAAAACCACUGAUUCAAGAGUACCAAGAUGUCAAACUGCAGCUGAUAUUUCUCCAGACAGAGGUACAAGAUGAACCAAUCAGGUUUAAUCAGUCCAUUAGCAGCAGAAUUUACCUAAAAUAGUCUUUUUGUUUUUAACUGAUCUAUCUUUCAUGUGUCUAAGGAGGAAAGAAUUAAGGCAAAACUCAACAAAAUAAUCCUAAAGGAGAAGAAAGUAAUCUACAAUAGUCUAACAGAGACAAUUGUGAAAAGCAUGCAAAAGGGCUAUGAUGGUAAGAGAUGGUCAACUUUCACAAUAAUAAAUCACAAUUGUAUAAAAAAAGAAAAAGUUUCAACAAUGUUUUGUGUCUUCUUGUAGAUGCAAAGGCAAAAAGGCAAAAGGAAGACAUGAGGAACACUCUUGAGACACAUGUAUCCUCAAAUAGGAACAUGUAUGAGGAUGCAAAAAAGACCAUGUUGGAGAAGAUGGAUACGUUGAAGACGACCAUCUGCAAUGAACUGAAGGAAACCAUGGAACACUCCAUUAAACUCUCAUUCAAGGUUGAUGUUUGCCCUCUCCCAGAUGUUUCAAAGCAUCUUAAAACUGUGCAGCGAUAUCAUGAUGAAGUUAAAAAGAGAGAGAGAGAAAUGCCAGCACAGUAAUCGGGUAAAUAUUUAAAUGUUAUUGCAUGUCACGGGAUUAUUAUUGUUACCCAUUUUGUGCUAAAUUGCUAGAUUCCUGAGAAUUCUUAAAGGGAUCGGCGGAGGGUUAUAUGAGCUUUUAGCUGAGAUUCUGAGGUUUCUGUGGAUACCACACAUUUGCAUGAAAGACUUGAUGUCAGGGAGGGUUAAACUGCAGGUCACCCCCUUUGUCCCCGGUACCGGGGGCCUUAGGGCUCAAGAUUAACCCUCUGGGGUCCAGGGUAUAAUUGGCCAUUUUUAACUACUUUUAAAAACUGCUUACCUUGCCUUGUUUGGUAUCAUUCUUUUCAGCACAACCUCUUGUGUCUGAAUUUACAGUAACUGAUAAAUUUUUACAUACUGUAUUAACACAAUUGAUCUAAAAUCAGAGGAAAAGCAUAAAUUCAGAGUAGAAUUUUUUUAUUUUCUAUUGUAGCACCAACAAAUAUGUUUAACAAAUCAUUUUCACAAUUUGAAUUGCAAAUAUAAAUUGUAAAUUUUAAAAACUUAUAAACAAGUUUUUCAAACAACACAGUUAUAUGCAACUAUUUACCUAAAAUGCAGCUGAGGCCUCAGGCCGUUUUCAUAUAAGCACUUAAAACUAUUUACAGAACAAUCAGGUUUUCUGCAUUGAAUAAGAAGGCACACAAAUGAUUUGUGCCACUGCAAAAAAUAGUUUGUGUCACUAUAAGACAGAGGAGAACAGCACUGGGAUAAACCUGCAGGUGUAUCACUCCUGUUUUCCCACAGUGUUUACUCUUCAAUCUGCUUUCAGUGGCUUUUUUGCGGCAACUGUGACACUUAAUAGUAGAACUGACACGCAAAACAAAACAACAAACACGCUAAACGUCACAAAUCUCUCACAUCUCAAAACUCUCUGUCUCUGUCUCUCUUUAGCUUGCUCCUUCUCACCGCUGUCACUCCUAAAACUUCUCCCUCUUCCUAAACAACCAAAUGCCACAUGUUGCGAUAUCAUUUUUUGAUUGGUUGACAUGAUACUUUUUUUUUUUUGCUCACAAGCGGAGAGUGCUUGCUAGCAGUGUCCUUAGAAAACACAGUUUUUACAGUUUUUUCCCGCAGUAAAUAACACAGUAUUACUCAGAAAACAAACAUCAUGUGUAUUCUUAUCCUACCUCUGGUUUUAUGUGGCCUAUUAACACAGUUUAAAAACUGGUAUAUAGUUUGAAGUCUGCCCUUUAAACACAAGUUGAACGGUCGGUAAGUCGCUGCAUCUCGUUGCUGUGUCAUCUUAAAUUGAUCAUGUGAUUUGGACACGCCAGCGUGUCAGUUGACCCCAGAGGGCUAAGCGCCAGUACCCUAAAACUCCCAAUAAUCCACUUAUGAAAAAUUGAUUAUAUUCCUAUAUUGUAUGAGAAAUUAUUCACUAUUUGCCUGACAAUGCUAGAUCUUCUUCAAAUGAAGUUUACUAACAGCUGCUAACCAACUGCUAACAGCAGCAAAAACAGCAGUACUCCCAACAUAAAAGCACAUGCUCCAAAAUUUACCUGAAUAUUGUCCACAGUCUUUGAACAGAAUUGAGUUAUUGUCUCAUGUUGGACUGACAGCUGAGGUAAACAUGCUGAAUUUAUUAUUGCUGAGCACAGAUGAAGUAUUUGAAUAAUAUAAUCACUUGUAUUUGGCGAUUCCUUACCCUUUUUACGUCCAAGUUACCUCAAACAUGUCAAAACAAAGUGUUUACAAAAAUUAUUUUCACCAUAAACAGUAGUAGUAACACCAAAUAAUAAUAUUUUCUAUUCUAGGGUGAGGAGCUUUCAAGACAUUUUAAAGCAAAUUUUAAGUAGUGAUGGUUUUACUGUUUGCCCUGAGCAGCUGAGUGUUAAAGAUCUUUCUGUUUAUUAUUACUGGAUGUUUCAGAAACACAAUGACCCACUCAACGUCUCUGAGAGAACACUGACUAAAAGCAUGAGGUCUCUGCGAAGCACCAAAUUUUUGUCAAGUUGUUUUGCCUUCUGUCCUUAAAUGUUGUUUGAUUUUUAAUGAAUUUGAUACAAUGAGAUUUUUCAGUCCUCACUGGAGGAAGCUCCUGGGUUUUAAUCUAGUUUGAGGCCUUUCUGUGUGGAUUUUGCAUGUUCUCCCUGUGUCUGCGUGGGUGCUCUCUGUCUACUCCAGCUUCUUCCUACCUUAUCACAGUUCAUUUAAUCAUUUCGGGGGGGGGGUUCCAGAAGUUGUUUGUAUUUUAAUUUUAGUUAACCAAAAUAUUCACAUCUAGUUUUAGUUUUAGUUAACUGUAAUAUUGUUAGCAACCUGCCCAGGGUGUACUCUGCCACUUGCCUGACAGCUGGGAAAGGCUCCAGCAACCUGGACUUGGAUAAGUGGAAGUAAAAUGGAUGUAGAUGUUUAAAUAUGAAUUCCUCCCAGGGGUGUCACCAGACUCUAAACCAAAAGGCCAGCAGUGUAUUCAAAUCCUCUUUUUUUCCUUCUUGGUUUUGUUAAUUAUUUGUAGACCCGAGUUAAACAGAAAAUUAGAAAGAGAAAUACAGAGGUAGAAGAUCUACAAUGUUGUUGUUUUUAAUUUUAGGGGUCUAAACAUUGAUAUCCAGAACUUUUUCUUUAAAUUUUAAUGAUUCUAUUGAUCUGCGACGGACUGGGGACCUGUCCAGGGUGUACCAUCGCCUCUCGCCCUAUGACAGCUGGGAUAGGCUGCAGCACCCCCCGCAACCCUGAAAAGGAUAAGCGGAAGAAAAUGGAUGGAUGGAUGGAUUCUAUUGAUGUUUUCUUUUACAUAUUUUGAUGUCUUAUAGUAAAUUUUAAUAUUUUAAUUACACGUGUUUAACCUUCAAUCAUUUAUUUUAGGGAUAUAUUUGUCAAUUUUAUUCUUGAACCUUAUACAGUGGAACCCCGACUUACGAAAUUAAUUUGUUCCCGAGGGUCUUUCGUAAGUCGAAGAUUUUGGUAUGUCGAAGCACCCAUUGCGCCUUUUAAAUGAACAAUAGCUAUAGGCUAGUUGGUAACUGCAACAACAAUACGUCAUUCAAGUGGAACAGCGAGACGCAACUACGAAAGCCAAGGGGUUGUCACAUGAUUCGGAAGGCAUUGUGGGCUUUGUAGGCUCAGCCAAUCAGAGCCAGCGGAUUUCGUUAUACGGGCAUUUUGCCGUAACACGGGCAGAAAUAUUGCCGUUCAGUGCCUUCCUGACUUGAAUUUUUCGUUAAAUGGGGUAUUCAUAAGUCGGGGUUCCACUGUAUAGCACAUCACUUAUGUAUACCAUUUUACUUACAUUUCUAACAUAAAUGUAAUUUACUGCAAUAAAAUUAUUUCAAUAAAAUCAUUUCUUUGGUUGUCAUAUGAUUAAUAAAGCAGCAGCAAACAACAAACCUUGUUCUUGUCUAUUUCUGACCCUAAAACUAACUAGCCUGGCAAAAAGUAUUUUGCAGCAGCACAGUAGUUUGUAACAUACAACAAUACUAUCUAUGAACUGUGAAGAUUGAACCACAAACCAUUUAUCAACAGGAUGUCAAAUGAUUGUUGAUGUCAUUGAUCAAGCUUCCUCUGACGCGUUCUUGCCUGGGUGACA